UAUGUAAAGCGCUUUGGGGUCCUUAGGGACUAGAAAAGCGCUAUAUAAAUACAGGCCAUUUACCAUUUUUGUGUUAAGUUUAUAUGCUUUGGGCCUCAAGCAAUAGUUAAGAGGAUUAUUCACUGAAGAUGGCAACUGUUUCUUCUAGACUUUUCCUUUUGUUUGUAAAGACUUUUAUAUCAAAUAUGUCAUUUGCUUAAAAAAAUUAGAGUAAAAAGCAAAAUGUUCUGAUAUUUGCUGCUCUGAGCUUCUCAUGUCCAGUGACAGCAGCAAUAGGCUUAGUGUUACGGGCCUGGGCCUUGGAGGAAGUGAGACUGCCCUUUUGUUUGUGCAAAUCCAAGUGUGCUAGGACUUGUGGAUGUUUUUACUGUAACAUAAGUGGGGGCUCGUCUGGGAUCUCCUUUUCCCCAUAAGGAGAAUUCCCAUUUGUGAAAGAGAGAACGUGUGUUUUGCUCCAUUUUGGGUUUUUUUCUUCUUCUGCCCUCUUCCUUGUUUUGAGCGCCAUGUCGGCUGCAUUUUGUUUAGAGGAUUUCUUAAAAGCUCCAUCUGUUGUGCUCCUUGAUAGCUGCCGCAAGUGUGAAUUGCUGCAAAUUGCAGAACACCUUAAGCUCCAGGUCUCUAAAACACUCCGUAAGAGUGACCUGAAAGCGUGGGUAGUAGACAAGUUGGUGGAGGCUGGUCUAGUGCAAGUCCCUUAUCUGCCUGAACUGCCUGUGGUCUCUGGUGAGCCUAGUCAAACUUCCUCAUUUGAGGGGGACCAUAAAGAUGGUUCUGGUCAUGACAGUGUGGGAGAUGAGCGGGGAAAGACCCCGCGCACGCUCCCUCGCUAUGAUCCCCUUUCCUCUGGAAGUUCAGAAGAAGUUCAAAGGUGCGACUGGCACAGCUCCAGUUGGAGGCCGAGGAGAAGGCUCAAGUCAGGCGAGCUCAAUUAGAGCUUGAGAUCAGAAGGCUCGUCACGGGAUUUUUCCCCGUCGCACCUUACCCAUUGAGGGGGUGGCCAUGUUGCUAGGAAAUGAUAUUGCGGGCGGAUUAGUGCGUCCUAGUCUGGAGGUGCUGGAUAAGCCCCUCAGUUGUGAUGCCCCAGAUAUUUCUGUGACCCCAAAGCUGUACCCAGCCUGUGUGGUUACUCGUGCCCAGGCCCGUAAAGAUGGCAACGUUACCCUCGCUGAUUCUAUGUUGAUGACCUCAUUUUCUGAGGAGGGUGCUGCUUUACCUGACGAAAACAAUGUUUUGUCUUCCCCAGACUUGGUAAACCCUGAGGAGCCUGGUCCAUCUGUGAAAGAAAUACCAUUGCCUUUAACCAGAGAAAAUCUGUCGGCAGCCCAGUUGGCUGAUGAAUCGUUGCAGCGUUGUUUUAAGCGUGUGGUAAGUGCUGAUCAAGCUGGUUACGAACAACAACCCUUUUUCAUCAAACAGAAUGUGGUAAUGCGUUAAUGGUCCCCACCUGGUGCAGGAAGUGUGGACUGGGGUCACGCCAAUUCCCUGGCUAAGCAGCACAUUGCCAUUUCAGAAAGGAAAAUGAAACACACUUAUGAUAAGGCUUCUCUUAAAAGACACCUCAGAAGAAGUGAUAAAGUACUUGUCUUACUAAUUUUACUCACUUACUUGUUUUUGCUUAGUUACCUUGAAAGUACAAAAUCCCUCUUAUGCCACACGUGAUAACUGCACCCGACUUGAUGCGUCCAUUCAAGUUAGGGGUUGAUGCCAGUGCUGUUGGGGCUGGAGCAAUACUGUUGCAAAAAAGACUUGCAGGGAUUGGACCACCCCAUUUGUUAUUUCCACUGCAAAUUUAACCAGCAUCUGUUAAGUUACUCCCCCAUUGAGAAGGAGAUAUUGGCUCUGUUGCUAGCUCUUCAGCACUUCCAUGUUUACUUGGGGUCCGGCACAUUACCCAUUGUAGUGUACACUGAUCAUAAUCCACUUGUAUUUCUUGCCUGAAUGUUUAACCACAAUCAACGACUCAUGCAAUGGGCCUUGCUGCUGCAAGAGUACAACUUGGAGAUUCGGCAUAUAAAAGGAUCAGAAAAUGUACUAGCUGAUGGCCUCUCCCGGUUCAACUAGUGAUCUGGGGUCUACAGGAAGCAUCUGGAGGAGCCAGACAACCAUAUAGGGAAAAAUGCUGUUGAACACGGAAACUUGUUGAACUGUCGUUAAUUAAAACCUAUGCAUGUGAUGUUUUGUCUAACGCGAGAAGGGGCGUUAACCCUGACAUAAUAAAACUCUGCUAAAAGUAUGUUUUGACGGGAGAUCCGCAUUGACAAUAUUGGGCUGUGUAUCUUUCCACACGUGUUUAAUAAAAUCAUUGUUUUGAUGCACUUGGACCAGAGGUCAUUUGUCUCUCACCUCAAUCACGAAUUCGGGACAAAACAUAGUCUUGUAUUUUAAGAGGAGGGGUGUUAUGGCCCUGGGCCUUGGAGCAAGUGAGACUGUCCUUUUGUUUAUGCAAAUCCAAGUGUGCUAGGACUCGUGGAUGACUGGCUGCUGGGAGUCCGGUGCCAGCCUUCUUUUAUGCAGAUCAAAGUGUGCCAGACCGCGCGGACGAUUGGCUGCCAGGACAUCCCAUGACACUCCAAGACCAAUUGACUGGCUGAUUGUCUGCACCUGGGAGUAUAAAAAGGCUGAAGAUUCUUCAUACUGACGGGGGAAACUGCUGCGCUGACGUGAAUAUGCAGUGUCUGCCUAGCAUUUGAACUCGGUAAACUCUGAUAUACAGCUGACCUUAGUUUUAUUAGAGUCUUGUGUUUGCUGGCUCACCUUAGUUAACCCUUAGCUUUUAUUCAGGGCUGUUCUUUUCUUUGUGUAUUAAUUAUUUGCCCGGUGGUCUGUUGAACAGCCCUGUUGGUUUUCAGUUUAACGUUUGCAAUAAAACUCCUUAUUUACUCUGAUUUCGUGAGAGGGCUUGUGUAUGUUUCCCCCCCACCUGUCACCUAGCAGAGUGGGUCGUAAUAUCAGUCAUCCACAACUGGUUGUCAUUCAGACUGGAUAAGUGGUUGUAAAGAGAGGAAAUGACUGAAGAGGUGGAGCUGAUAAUUUUAAUGUAUUUUGGAAGCUUUAAUUUAAACACAAGCACUUACAAACAGUAUCUUUAAAGAAAAACAGGGCACUGUAUAAUGUCAUGUCUCAUAUAUAAUCUUGAGAUAUAUUGUAUCCCUAAAGCAUAUUCUAUAACUUCAAGUGUUGCAAUAACAAAGUAAAAUAAGAAUAAAACCGGGAGGAGGCCCUGGGAGAGACCCAGGACAUGUCUUGGUGUUUGGUCUGGGCUUCCCUGCUUAGGCUGCUGCCGCCGCAACCCGGCCCCGGAUAAGCGGAAGAAGAUGGAUGGGUGGAUGGAAUAAGUAUACAACUCACAAGGUAAAGCAGUAUUCUGUGUGUAGUCAUGACUAUGUACAUUUUCACCAAGAACAAACACUCUUGUAAAGACAGUAGAUUAAAAUAAAUGUCACAUAAAUAUAUGAAAAUGGAUUCUCAGUAUGCAGAAGAAUAAUUGCUUCUCAAAACACACA